rnacentral:lncRNA from 1 species
GCAGUCAUUGGCAUAAUGACCAAAUCGACCACAUUUAUAACACUUAAUGUCUUUAUUUUUGUUAUUAUUUUUCUGGUAAGAGUUUUUUCCUUUCUUUUUUCUUGAAUUCUUAUAAAACUUUUUAUUUUCUUGAUAAUUUUCUUUUUGGUAAUUAUCUUUCUUAUAAUAUUUUUUAAGAUUUUUCUUAUUUUUACUAAAAGUUUUCUUUUUACUCUUAGGAUUACUAGGAGCUCUUAUUGGGGUAGCACCGUAUUGUUCGCAGAACGAUCCCAGCUCUCUUUUGUUAUUUACUUUCUCAUUUUUAAUCUUAUUUUGUAUCUUAUAAUCAGUACAGAUUUGUAAUCCAGUUUCGACAAUAUAAUUUGAUAUUUCUCCCAU